GACGAACGCUGGCGGCGUGCUUAACACAUGCAAGUCGAGCGGUAAGGCUCCUUCGGGAGUACACGAGCGGCGAACGGGUGAGUAACACGUGAGCAAUCUGCCCUUCACACUGGGAUAACCCCCGGAAACGGGAGCUAAUACCAGAUACGACCACUUCGGGCAUCCGAUGGUGGUGGAAAGUUCUGGCGGUGAAGGAUGAGCUCGCGGCCUAUCAGCUCGUUGGUGAGGUAACGGCUCACCAAGGCUUCGACGGGUAGCCGGCCUGAGAGGGUGACCGGCCACACUGGGACUGAGACACGGCCCAGACUCCUACGGGAGGCAGCAGUGGGGAAUAUUGGACAAUGGGCGAAAGCCUGAUCCAGCAACGCCGCGUGAGGGAUGACGGCCUUCGGGUUGUAAACCUCUUUCAGCAGGGACGAAGCGAAAGUGACGGUACCUGCAGAAGAAGGACCGGCCAACUACGUGCCAGCCGCCGCCGUAACAC
rnacentral:rRNA from 1 species